UACGUAGGGGGCAAGCGUUGUCCGGAAUCAUUGGGCGUAAAGCGCGUGUAGGCGGCCCGGUAAGUCCGCUGUGAAAGUCGGGGGCUCAACCCUCGAAUGCCGGUGGAUACUGUCGGGCUAGAGUCCGGAAGAGGCGAGUGGAAUUCCUGGUGUAGCGGUGGAAUGCGCAGAUAUCAGGAGGAACACCGAUAGCGAAGGCAGCUCGCUGGGACGGUACUGACGCUGAGGCGCGAAAGCGUGGGGAGCGAACAGG
rnacentral:rRNA from 1 species